CUAAGAUCCAAAUCAGGUGGAUGGAGGUCCACGGGCUUUAUCAUAGGUGUGGAGGUUGGGGAGAGGUUUGCAUACUAUGGAAUCAGCUCCAAACUCAUAAGCUUUCUCACCAGACCGAUUGGACAGUCCACCGCCAUAGUGGCGGAGAACGUGAAUGCGUGGGACGGAAUGGCGUUGUUGCUGCCUUUGUUAGGAGCUUUUGUUGCCGAUUCUUUUCUCGGGCGCUACCGCACCAUUGUGGUGACUUCUAUUCUCUAUGUUCUGGUUUGUCUAUGCACACUUUCUACAAUUUAGACAGGCAGGAUUACAAUAAACCAGCCUCAUCUUAAUAUGUAUCAAUUUAAUAAUGCCUAUAAUUUUUUUUUUCCCAUUCCCAUGAACCAUUUGUAUAAAUUUUGCAAUUUCUUUGUUGCAUUA